rnacentral:lncRNA from 1 species
UUGUCUAGUGAUAGUAUUUGAGUUCUAAGGUUGAAAAAAUUUUCAUUUAAUCCUAAGAGGAACUGAUGUAUCAUAUCAUUCUCCUCUUUUUGUUGGUAGAGUUUCUUACAUCCUAAGCAAAAUUUCUCUUUGAUCUCAUCUACUUGUACCAAUUGGUCCCAAAUGGAUCUAAACUUGUCAUAAAAAUCAGAAGCAUUCAUAG